CAAAUGACCAGCAACUAUAAAGAGCUGUCAGAAGUCCCCCUCAUUCAGUGCUUUCAUAACUUUGAAUAGUUGAAUGAGUGGUUGUCCAGUGAGAACUAUCUGGAUAGGCAAAUUGAUAGAAGUGAUAUUCCAAGAUAAGGUGUUACAGGAAGCCAUCUUAAAGCUGAAAGACAGAAGAAGGUUAUUGAUGUCACAUUAACAAGUGAAAUUCACACUAUAAAUAAGUGUCUGACUCUGAUUUUAAUUCAGAUAGAUGUGGAGAAAAACAUUUGUUUCCACUGUUGUGGAAUUCCCUUACCAAACCCAAUGCAAUAAAAUGUAUUUAUAAAAUU